rnacentral:siRNA from 1 species
UUCUGAUGAGAUUGCAUAUAU